GAGUCCUCCGCCGUGGCCGAAGGCGGCCGCCAUGGCGCCGGCAGUGCCAGCGGGCGUCUUGCGACCCGGCUCGGGCUUCGCCACCAUUCACUGUGCUUCUCAAGCCACUUCGGCACUCUAAUUUCGCCCUGCUCUCUCUAGACGAUUUUUAAUACCUGGGAAAGUUACUCCCCAGUCUAACCUAAAAAGGUAGAAUUGAUGGGGUGGGGAAUUAACAGGAAGGCAUGAUCCUCGAGGAUAACGCUGACCAGGCGCUUCUUCCAACAAGCCUGUUUCCCUCUCUGUCGCCACCGUAGGAGUUCCUACAGCUCUCCCGCACAUUCUGUACGGAUUGUUUUUUAGUCAAGACGUUCUGUGCGAGAGGAGAAGUUACUUUAUGAACACCCUAACAGGGGAUCUUACGACCUCUUCCCCGCUCUCCACUCAGUCCUUUUAAAAACGCGAGGCAGGAUGAAGAACGCUAUUGAAGUACAUUCUAAAAUGAUCCCACCUGCAAUUUGGAUUUUUGGAGAAUCGGGAUCGGUGUAAAAUUCUACAUGCAUACACGUAUUUGCACAAGAAUAUUUAUAGCAACGUGGUUUUUAAUAGGAAACUAUCUAAAUGUUCAUUACAAGUGAAUUACAUAAAGCUCAAUACAUCCAUACUACGAAUCACUGAAGAGCUGCUAAAAUAGAUGAAAUAUAUUUAUAAUGGCAUGAACAACCGACACAAG
rnacentral:lncRNA from 10 species